CAAAAAUUUUAAAUUUUAAAUUAAUAUUUUAUAAAUUGAUUUUUGUGUUUGCUGCUGUUUUGGUUCUUAAACUUAGGUUAUAUUAUGAUUCAAAAAGCGCUGAAGAACAAAGACAAAAUUAACGGCGCUACAAUGCCAGAUACUAGAACGAAGAAGAUAAGGAGCCAACAUGCAUGCCAACAAUAGCGCUCAUGCGGGCUGAAGAGGUUCCCUCCAAUCUUCCAUUUCAAGACCCUAUUGCAGUCAAAAAUGCCGAAAGGACUAUGUGCCUGCAAAUAAUUUAGACAGGAAAAAAGGUGUUCAUUUAGUUGAAAUCCUGAACCAAUUCUGGAAGCGCAGCAAUAGGUGCUCAACCAUCUAUAAUACGUAAGUCCGCAAUGUGUCCAGCGCGAUUUCAAGUCCUGACAUUGCAAUUGGUUGUUAGAAGCCCUAUCAGUAGUGAUAGCGAUAGCUCCACCCCAUCUAAGAGAAGUCCUCUAAAUACACCAAAUUACUUCAUAUUAUUCACCAAUAUGCAUGUCCUCUGAAUACACCAAAUUACUUCAUAUUAUUCACCAA
rnacentral:sRNA from 1 species